UACGUAGGCAGCGAGCGUUGUUCGGAAUUACUGGGCGUAAAGAGUGUGUAGGCGGUGCUCUAAGUUCGGUGUGAAAUCUCCUGGCUCAACUGGGAGGGUGCGCCGGAAACUGGAGUGCUUGAGCGUGGGAGAGGAAAGCGGAAUUCUUGGUGUAGCGGUGAAAUGCGUAGAUAUCAAGAGGAACACCUGAGGUGAAGACGGGUUGCUGGGCUGACACUGACGCUGAGGCGCGAAAGCCAGGGGAGCAAACGGG
rnacentral:rRNA from 1 species